rnacentral:rRNA from 1 species
UGGGAACGUGCCUUUUGGUUCGGAACAACUGAGGGAAACUUCAGCUAAUACCGGAUAAGCCCUUACGGGAAAGAUUUAUCGCCAAAAGAUCGGCCCGCGUCUGAUUAGCUAGUUGGUGGGUAAUGGCCACCAAGGCUACGAUCAGUAGCUGGUCUGAGAGGAUGAUCAGCCACACUGGGACUGAGACACGGCCCAGACUCCUACGGGAGGCAG